rnacentral:rRNA from 1 species
UACGGGGGGGGCAAGCGUUGUUCGGAAUUACUGGGCGUAAAGGGCUCGUAGGUGGCCAACUAAGUCGGACGUGAAAUCCCUCGGCUUAACCGGGGAACUGCGUCCGAUACUGGUUGGCUUGAGUUUGGGAGAGGGAUGCGGAAUUCCAGGUGUAGCGGUGAAAUGCGUAGAUAUCUGGAGGAACACCGGUGGCGAAAGCGGCGCGCUGGACCUCUUCUGACGCUGAGGCGCGAAAGCCAGGGGAGCAAACGGG